UACAUGUGUGUUUUUCCCCUCUGCCAGCUGUUAUGAAAAUAGUUCAUUCUUAUGUCCUAGCAUCCUGACAGUUGAGGUGUGUGUGGGUGUGUGUGUGUGUGUGUGUGUGUGUGUGUGUGUGUGUGUGUGUGUGUGUGUGUGUGUGUACAUGUGUGUUUUUCCCCUCUGCUCAGCUAAGAAAGGUUUUUGCUGUAAACCAUAUCCAUUUCUUAUCAGUUGGCCUUUCUUAGAAAAAAGCAGUCUUAUGUGAAGUUCAAGAAACAUUUAGUGAGUGCCUUGGAUUUGCUGGAGAUUAAGAGAUGAGAGUCUCUGCCUGCAGAACAGUAUUUUACGUUAAUACAAUGAGUCAGGGAUAGCAGGGCAUUAUAAUGUUCUAUUUAAUGUCUUAAAGUAGCUCUUAAAAUAGCUACCUGCUCCCUUAGCUGCUAUUUUCUUUACAUUUCAGAACCUAUUUCCUUUUACCUAUUUUUUAACUGGUUUUCCUCCCUCCAAUUACCAAUUUGUGGAAAAAUAACAUUAGUCAAAGCUGACUAAAGAUUUUGUUUUUAACAGUGUCACUUCUAACUUGAUUAUUGAGUGAGAGAUAGAUAAAAUCAACCCAAAUUUGGGCCUUCUCAGGAUGUUCAGUGUUAAAGAAUCCUCUUCCAAUGCAGGAGAUGCAAGAAAUGCAGGUUCGAUCCCUGGGUCAGGAAGAUCCUCUGGCGUAGAAAAUGGCUUAAUUUGUAGCCCAGAAGCCCAUGUGGCUGAAGGUCGAAAACUAUUGCUGUUCAUGAUCUUGGGCUUUUCAGGAAUCCAUCCUGAUUUUUCCGCAGUUUUCCUUGGUCUACUGACCAGAACUUAAUGUAGUGUAGGAAUGAGGGAUUGGAACAUGGAUUGAACAGAUAUCUGUCUCUAUGAUCUACAUCUGUGGCUUUUAAUACAUCUCAGUCUUGUGUUGAAAGUUUUCUUAGUGAGACUUUGUAGAUAAUUGCUAUAUUUUGCUUGUGAUCAGUUAUUUUUCUAUGUUCACAGGUAGUCAGUUUGUCCUAUAUUAUGAAAAGUAAAUCAUCAAAUUUAAAUGCAGGAGGCUUUUGUAUUUCAUCAUAGGUUAAAUUUUAUCUUCUCUUUCACUAGCAACCGCAUCUGAUAAAAUUUAUCUCAGUAGAUUUUUUUUUUUUUUAGGAUUGUGUCUUUUUUUUUUCCUUUAUCUGAUUCAU